rnacentral:lncRNA from 1 species
GCAGCUGCCGGACACCAGGAGACGAUGGAAGGUCUAUAGUGUUACAGCUCUGACCCAGGAAGUCCCAGGGUCUUGCCUUCCAGAAGGGUCGCGGCUCUUCCCUCCCUCAGUCCAACGAACAGGAGCACGUCACCUCCCGCAGCUCGGGGAGCUGGCCAGGAACGUGUUACAGCCCGUUUCGCUCCUGUCCGCAGCUGGGUGAGGCAGCCAGGAAAAUAUUACAGCUCUUCUCACGCCCGCCAUUCAGCAGGUCCUGACUUCUUGUGUGACAUCCAGAAGAAAGGGGUUACACAGACAGCUGGAGGGUGAGCAAAGUGGAGAAGUUCUCAGCAGAGAGGAGACUGGAGUGAGUUGCCCCUACCCGCAGGUGCCAACUGUAAUACAUCAGUAGCUGAACAGCUCAUUGCCCUCAAGUGUUCUUGCUCAUGCCUGGCUGAGUUAUUGAAGAAAUUGCUCAGAUCUCAAGCCCUUGUAGAUCACUGGUCCUGGCAGAUGUUAUACGUGAACAGAAAAGCCUGAACUAGGGAACUGACCAUGAAACUAAAAAGGAGAAAGCAUAUGCAAGUGGACACAAUAUUAUACACCCGUGAUAUUGAUGGCAGUGGCUGCUGCUGUCGUGGCUGCUGCUAUCACGCCUGCUGCAACACAGAGGUGCGACUGGGGCUGCACAUUUCACGGAGGUGUUGGGAGUUCCGCCCCUUCUGAUGUGGGGAAAGAGAUCCCCAGGUGCCCCUGCAUCUGCCCAAACUGUGGCUGUGGAUCGGAGGCUCCAGGUUGGCAGGUUGGGAGCUUCCGGGUGCAGCUGCGACCGCCCUCCCAGGUGCAGGACCCUGGUGUUUCUGCAGCCUGCACCCUUGGGGGCCCCAGGAAAGACCCAUAUCCUUGCAGGCUUGGAGGUGUUUGCUUCUUCUGCCUGGCCUCUCUCGGCUCCCGGUGCAUGCUCUCAUAUCUGAGUGGGGGUUGGUGCUGAGCCCCGGGGCCGUGAAUUGCAGCAGGAGGCAGAUUUAUUCCUGGGCAGAAGGUGGCAGAUCCCAAGUAAGGGGACCUUCAAGCCAGGGAGGGCCUGAAGGCUGGUGGCUGGGCUACCAGUCCCACCGACCAGAGUGGGGAUUCGUGGGCCUCUUCUGGGCCACCCAUAGCCACCCAUGGACCAAUCAGCAAGCACAUCCUCCCCUCUGAGGUCCGUAAAAGCCCUGGGCGCAGCCUGAGCAGGGCAGAGGAAGGCCAGAGGUGAAGGAGUCAGAGAGGCGACAGGAUAGGCAGCUGCCGAGAGAAGUACGCCUCUCUGCUGAGACCUGGAGAUGACGGGAAGGCCAGAUGCAGAGAGGAGCUACCCUCUCUGCUUAGAGCUGCCAGGAGGAGCUACCAACCUUCUCUGCUGAGAGCUGCAGAGAUGACCUGCUGGCAGAGAGGAGCUACCCACUGCGGGUCUCCUCUGAUCUGUUGUAAUGCUGAAUAAAGCUUCUUUUCAUCUUGUUCACCUUCCACUUGUCUGCAUACCUCAUUCUACCCGGACGCAAGCAAGAACUCGAGCAAAGGCACAACCAGCCACAGAGGUUUCUGGCCAGAAAAUCGACACCCCAAAAGUCCUAUAACAAUCUGAUUCUAAAAGCAACAUCAUCUUUUCAAUGUAAUUCUAAAAGAAUUUGGGAUUAUUUUAUUUAAUUUCAGGAUCCCCUCUGAAGAAAAUCAACUUACAAAGGAUGGCAGGUCUUAAGAAAGGUACUUAGCAAGUGCUGGUACAUUCUAAGCAAUCAAUAUUUGUCAAUGUUCAGUAAUUGUACAAUUGUACUAGAGAAAACAAUUCCAGGGGCUUAAAAUUAUCUUAUACAAGGAUCCACUUUAUUAUUAUUUUUUCUGUUUGUUUUGGAUAAAUUACUGACUCCUUAUCUCAGUUAUGUUAUGUGUUAAAUGUUUACAGUGUUAUUUUGUAUCUCUCAAGGGCUUUUGUUAGAAUUUUCAAUGAGAUACCUUAAAACCUCUAAAAAGAAAAUGGAUGUUAUAAGUAAAUAAAAAUAAGUCUGAAUGGC